UAUUGACACCUAGCCAAGCCGCAAUCAGUUAAGCAAAAAGAACUAAUGAAGAUGAUAACAACUUAUCCCCUGGUGGUAAAGAUCCAGUCUUAAUAACAAAUGCUGCAUCUACUUUAGUAGAAUGCGCAGAAGCAUCAAAGUUAAUCUUAAUUGCCUCAAAGAAUGGAGGUAACCACACAACUAAUGGUUAGGAAGAAGUAGGGCGAAGAGAAGAACUAUCCCAGUACCU
rnacentral:lncRNA from 1 species